AACGAACGCUGGCGGCAUGUUUAACACAUGCAAGUCGAACGGGAUGUCUUGGCCUCGGCCGGGACAUUCAGUGGCGGACGGGUGAGUAACGCGUGGGAACGUGUCCGGAAGUGGGGAACAACCGCUGGAAACGGCGGCUAAUACCGCAUACGCCCCCGUGCUUGGCACGGGGGGAAAGGCUUCGGCCGCUUUCGGAGGGGCCCGCGUCCGAUUAGCUGGUUGGUGGGGUAACGGCCUACCAAGGCUGCGAUCGGUAGCUGGUCUGAGAGGACGAUCGGCCACACUGGGACUGAGACACGGCCCAGACUCCUACGGGAGGCAGCAGUGGGGAAUAUUGGACAAUGGGGGCAACCCUGAUCCAGCAAUGCCGCGUGAGUGAUGAAGGCCUUAGGGUUGUAAAGCUCUUUCGCCCGAGACGAUGAUGACGGUAUCGGGAGAAGAAGCCCCGGCUAAUUCCGUGCCAGCCGCCGCAGUAAAAC
rnacentral:rRNA from 1 species